ACAGGCGGAUGGCACUCAUUCCCAGCGAAGAACGGGGCCAGAGGAUGACUUCCAAGCUCAGUCAGGAGCCAGGAGGAGAUUCUUUAGAGUGCACAAGAGCUGGUCCGAGAUGGCUGAAUAGGAGCAGCUCCAGGCUACAGCUCCCAGCGUGAGCGACACAGAAGACAGGCUUCCUUUAUUGAAUGUAUCUGCUGUACUGGAAAUUACUCUGGGAAAUUGUUAUGUAAAUAACCAUGUUGCUGCUCACCUUGGCGCUUGAACCUCUGACUACAAGUAGGGUCUGAGAACCACCAGAGCUGGUUAGAAAGGCAGAGUUUCCCGCCCCACCCAGAUCCCAGUCAUGACGCCUGGGUGAUCUGCAGGAGCAUUGCAGCCUGACAGCCCUGAGCUAGACUGGAGUUGCCCUGUGGAAAGCAGUUCCACUCACUGGAAGCCUGUGAACCAGAGGGCCUGCUGUGUGCCUGCUUCUUACUUCGUCUCAGUCCCAGAGGCAUAGUCAGACUGGCUUCUAUGCCU
rnacentral:lncRNA from 1 species